rnacentral:rRNA from 1 species
UCCUACGGGAGGCAGCAGUGAGGAAUAUCGGUCAAUGGACGAGAGUCUGAACCAGCCAAGUAGCGUGAAGGAUGACUGCCCUAUGGGUUGUAAACUUCUUUUAUAUGGGAAUAAAACAGGGUAUGCAUACCCUCUUGUAUGUACUUUAUGAAUAAGGAUCGGCUAACUCCGUGCCAGCAGCCGCGGUAAUACGGAGGAUCCGAGCGUUAUCCGGAUUUAUUGGGUUUAAAGGGAGCGUAGAUGGGUUGUUAAGUCAGUUGUGAAAGUUUGCGGCUCAACCGUAAAAUUGCAAUUGAUACUGGCAG